rfam:Triticum aestivum genome assembly, contig: Triticum_aestivum_CS42_TGACv1_scaffold_592169_7BS
CAUAUACUCCCUCCGUUCUAAAUUACUCGUCAUUUAAAUGGAUGUAUCUAGAACAAAAAUACAUCUAAAUAUAUCCAUACGUGCGACAAGUAAUUCGGAAUGGAGGGAGUAUAUG